UACAGAGGUCCCAAGCGUUGUUCGGAUUUACUGGGCGUAAAGGGUGCGUAGGUGGCGGGGUAAGUCUGGUGUGAAAGCUCCGAGCUCAACUCGGAAAAGCAUUGGAAACUAUCCCGCUUGAGGGUCGGAGGGGAGACUGGAAUUCUCGGUGUAGCAGUGAAAUGCGCAGAUAUCAGGAGGAACACCGGUGGCGAAGGCGGAUCUCUGGGCCGAUACUGACGCUGGAGGAGCGAAAGCGUGGGGAGCGAACAGG
rnacentral:rRNA from 1 species